UAACACAUACAAAAAGAACAGCCUUCUUUUGCUGGUUCCUCACAUAACAACCAAAACAAUAUAUUUUAAAAAGCCUGAAGAGUUCAAAGACAAGAAUAAAUGUACCUUAUCUGAAGCCUGCAUUACCACUGUUUGAUAUGUUACGGUUGGCUAACU